UAGACACGCGCGUUGGACCUU
rnacentral:miRNA from 1 species